rnacentral:lncRNA from 1 species
UCGUCUCUAUUGUUGGAUUGAAUGGUGUUCGAUGUUUGAAUUAUUUUCUCUACUUGAUCUCCAAGGAUUGAGUUGUGGAAAUUCUGUUAUCUGUGAAACUAAAUAUUUCUUUGAUGGUUUGAUUAUAUAAUCUUGGUUGUAUUUUGAUGGUUUAUGGUUCAUAAGAGGCAUUUUGUGGGAUGAGCAUGGGACAAGUGUGGUUGGCUUUUACUCUUUGAUUUGAUGGUUUGCUUCUUGGUUUGAAAAGUUCACUACUCAAUUUUGAUGCCUUCUCGGAUAAUCCUCUAAUAUAGGUCUUUGGCUCUUUUAUUAGUUUUCCAAACCUUUCAAUUCAUCAUUCUUGUUGGAAUUGUUAUUUUAUUUCUGAAAAUUAAAGCGACACUGUUUUUUGUCACGAUGAUUUUUGUGACCACUAGGGGUAUGGGCUGGCUUCAUUUGUGUGGCUUCAUCUUCAACACCAUCUUCGCGGAAUCAGUGCCAAAUAGGAUCCAAUUUUGUUGCCUCUCGAAUUUGAAGGACACUAGACGAAAUUAUUUGAUCCGCGUAGAUGGUGUUGCGGGAGUAGCCGCGGAUGAGAAGGGCUGUGGCCACAGUUCAGCAAUUUGAGUUUCUGACCCUAAAUCCUAAAGAGUUUAAAACUGCUGCAACUCAGGAUAUCCUAAUUUCUUGUUGAGUUUCGCCUCUAUUGUUGGAUUGAAUGGUGUUUGAUGUUUGUAUUAUUUUCUCUACUUGAUCUCCAAGGAUUGAGUUGUGGAAAUUCUGUUAUCUGUGAAGCUAAAUAAUUGUUUGAUGGUUUGAUUAUAAUCUUUGUUGUAUUUUGAUGGUUUAUGGUUCACAAGAGGCAUUUUGUGGGAUGAGCAUGGGACAAGUGCGACUGGCCUUUACUCUUUGAUUUGAUGGUUGGCUUAUUGGUUGGAAAAGUUCACUACUCAAUUUUGAUGCCUUCUCGGAUAAUACUCUAAUAUAGGUCUUUGGUUCUUUUAUUGUUUUCCAAACCUUUCCAUUCACCAUUCUUGUUAAAAUUGUUAUUUUAUUUCUGAAAAUUAAAGUAACACUGUUUUUCGUCAUGGGUGAUUUUUUGGACCACCAGGGGUAUGGUCUGGCUUCAUUUGUGUGGCUUCAUCUUCAACACCAUCUUUGCGGAAUCAGUGCCAAAUAGAAUCCAAUUUUGUUGCCUCUCGAAUUUGAAGGACACUAGAUGAAAUUAUUUGAUCCGCGUAGAUGGUGUUGUGGGAGUAGCCGCACGGAUGAGAAGGGUUGCGCCCACAGUUCAGCAAUUCGAGUUUCUGACCCUAAAUCCUAUAGAGUUUAAAACUGCUGCAACUCAGGAUAUCCUAAUUUCUUGAUGAGUUUCGCCUCUAUUGUUGGAUUGAAUGGUGUUUGAUGUUUGUAUUAUUUUCUCUACUUGAUCUCCAAGGAUUGAGUUGUGGAAAUUCUGUUAUUUGUGAAGCUAAAUAUUUCAUUGAUGGUUUGAAUAUAAUCUUUGUUGUAUUUUGAUGGUUUAUGGUUCAUAAGAGGCAUUUUGUGGGAUGAGCAUGGGACAAGUACGGUUGGCCUUUACUCUUUGAUUUGAUGGUUGGCUUAUUGGUUUCAAAAGUUCACUACUCAAUUUUGAGGCCUUCUCGAAUAAUACUCUAAUAUAGGUCUUUGGCUCUUUUAUUGUUUUCCAAACCUUUCCAUUCCUCAUUCUUGUUGGAAUUGUUAUUUUAUUUCUGUAAAUUAAAGUGACACUGUUUUUCAUCAUGGGUGAUUUUUUAGACCACCACGGGUAUGGCCUGGCUUCAUUUGUGUUGUUUCAUCUUCAACACCAUCUUCGCGGAAUCAGUGCCAAAUAGGAACCAAUAUUGUUGCCUCUCGAAUUUGAAGGACACUAGACGACAUUAUUUGAUCUGCAUAGAUGGUGUAGCGGGAGUAGCCGCACGGAUGAGAAGGUUUGUUGCCACAGUUCAGCAAUUCGAGUUUCUGAACCUAAAUCCUAGAGUUUAAAACUGCUGCAACUCAGGAUAUUCUAAUUUCUUGAUGAGUUUCGCCUCUAUUGUUGGAUUGAAUGGUGUUCGAUGUUGAAUUAUUUUCUCUACUUGUUCUUCAAGGAUUGAGUUGUGGAAAUUCUAUUAUCUGUGAAGCUAAACAUUUCUUUGAUGGUUUGAUUAUAAUCUUUUUUGUAUUUUGAUGGUUUAUGGUUCAUAAGAGGCAUUUUGUGGGAUGAGAAUGGGACAAGUGUGGUUGGCUUUAACUCUUUGAUUUGAUGGUUUUCUUCUUGGUUUGAAAAGUUCACUACUCAGUUUUGAUGCCUUCUCGGAUAAUCCUCUAAUAUAGGUCUUUGUCUCUUUUAUUAGUUUUCCAAACUUUUCAAUUCAUCAUUCUUGUUGGAAUUGUUAUUUUAUUUCUGAAAAUUAAAGUGACACUGUUUUUCGUCAUGGGUGAUUUUUUAGACCACCAGGGGUAUGGUCUGGCUUCAUUUGUGUGGCUUCAUCUUCAACACCAUCUUGUUGAAUCAGUGCCAAAUAGGAUCCAAUUUUGUUGCCUCUCGAAUUUGAAGGACCAUAGACGAAAUUAUUUGAUCCGCGUGGAUGGUGUUGCGGGAGUAGCCGCACGGAUGAGAAAGGUUGUGCCCACAGUUCAGCAAUUUGAGUUUCUGAUCCUAAAUCCUAUAGAGUUUAAAACUGCUGCAACUCAGGAUAUCUUAAUUUCUUGAUGAAUUUCGCCUCUAUUGUUGGAUUGAAUGCUGUUUGAUGUUUGUUUUAUUUUCUCUACUUGAUCUCCAAGGAUUGAGUUGUGGAAAUUCUGUUAUUUGUGAAGCUAAAUAUUUCAUUGAUGGUUUGAAUAUAAUCUCUGUUGUAUUUUGAUGGUUUAUGGUUCAUAAGAGGCAUUUUGUGGGAUGAGCAUGGGACAAGUGCGGUUGGCCUUUACUCUUUAAUUUGAUGGUUGGCUUAUUGGUUUGAAAAGUUCGCUACUCAAUAUUGAUCCCUUCUCGGAUAAUACUCUAAUAUAGGUCUUUGGCUCUUUUAUUGUUUUCCAAACCUUUCCAUUCACCAUUCUUGUUGGAAUUGUUAUUUUAUUUCUGAAAAUUAAAGUGACACUGUUUUUCGUCAUGGGUGAUUUUUUAGACCACUAGGGGUAUGGUGUGGCUUCAUCUUCAACACCAUCUUUGCGAAAUCAGUGCCAAAUAGGAUCCAAUUUUGUUGCCUCUCGAAUUUGAGGACACUAGACCACAUUAUUUUAUCUGCAUAGAUGGCGUUGCGGGAGUAGCUGCGCGGAUGAGAGGGUUUGUUGCCAGAGUUCAGCAAUUCGAGUUUCUGACCCUAAAUCCUAUAGAGUUUAAAACUGCUGCAACUCAGGAUAUUCUAAUUUCUUGAUGAGUUUCUGCUUUAUUGUUUGAUUGAAUGGUGUUCGAUGUUUGAAUUAUUUUCUCUACUUGAUCUCCAAGGAUUGAGUUCUGUAAAUUCUGUUAUUUGUGAAGCUAAAUAUUUCUUUGAUGGUUUGAUUACAAUCUUUGUCGUAUUUUGAUGGUUUAUGGUUCAUAAGAGGCAUUUUGUGGGAUGAGCAUGGGACAAGUGCGGUUGGCCUUUACUCUUUGAUUUGAUGAUUGGCUUAUUGGUUUGAAGAGUUCACUACUCAAUUUUGAUGCCUUCUCUAAUAAUUCUCUAAUAUAGGUCUUUGGCUCUUUUAUUGUUUUCCAAACCUUUCCAUUCACCAUUUUUGUUAGAAUUGUUAUUUUAUUUCUGAAAAUUAAAGUGACACUGUUUUUCGUAAUGGGUGAUUUUUUAGACCACCAGGGUAUGGCCUGGCUUCAUUUGUGUUGCUUCAUCUUCAACACCAUCUUCGCGGAAUCUGUGCCAAAUAGGAUCCAAUUUUGUUGCCUCUCGAAUUUGGAGGAAACUAGACCACAUUAUUUGGUCUGCAUAGAUGGCGUUGCGGGAGUAGCUGCACGGAUGAGAAGGUUUGUUGCCACAGUUCAGCAAUUCGAGUUUCUGACCCUAAAUGCUAUAGAGUUUAAAACUGCUGCAACUCAGGAUAAUCUAAUUUCUUGAUGAGUUUCGCCUCUAUUGUUGGAUUGAAUGGUGUUCGAUGUUUGAAUUAUUUUCUCUACUUGAUCUCCAAGGAUUGAGUUGUGGAAAUUCUGUUAUCCGUGAAGCUAAAUAUUUCUUUGAUGGUUUGAUGGUUCGUAAGAGGCAUUUUGUGGGAUGAGCAUGGGACAAGUGUUGUUGGCUUUUACUCUUUGAUUUGAUGGUUUGCUUCUUGGUUUGAAAAGUUCACUACUCAGUUUUGAUUCCUUCUCGGAUAAUCCUCUAAUAUAGGUCUUUGGCUCUUUUAUUAGUUUUCCAAACUUUUCAAUUCAUCAUUCUUGUUGGAAUUGUUAUUUUAUUUCUGAAAAUCAAAGUGACACUGUUUUUCGUCAUGGGUGAUUUUUUAGACCACCAGGGGUAUGGUCUGGCUUUAUUUGUGUGGCUUCAUCUUCAACACCAUCUUCACGGAAUCAGUGCCAAAUAGGAUCCAAUUUUGUUGCCUCUCGAAUUUGAAGGACACUAGACGACAUUAUUUGAUCUGCAUAGAUGGUGUUGCGGGAGUAGCCGCACGGAUGAGAAGGUUUGUUGCCACAGUUCAGCAAUUCGAGUUUCUGACCCUAAAUCCUAUAGUUUAAAACUGCUGCAACUCUGCAACUCAGGAUAUUCUAAUUUCUGGAUGAGUUUCGCCUCUAUUGUUGGAUUGAAUGGUGUUCGAUGUUUGAAUUAUUUUCUCUACUUAUCUUCAAGGAUUGAGUUGUGGAAAUUCUGUUAUCUGUGAAGCUAAAUAUUUCUUUGACGGUUUGAUUAUAAUCUUUGUUGUAUUUUGAUGGCUUAUGGUUCAUAAGAGGCAUUUUGUGGGAUGAGCAUGGGACAUGUGCGGUUGGCUUUUACUCUUUGAUUUGAUGGUUGGCUUCUUGGUUUUUAAAGUUCACUACUCAAUUUUGAUGCCUUCUCGGAUAAUACUCUAAUAUAGGUCUUUGGCUCUUUUAUUGUUUUCUAAACCUUUCAAUUCAUUAUUCUUGUUGGAAUUGUUAUUUUAUUUCUGAAAAUUAAAGCGACACUGUUUUUCGUCAUGGGUGAUUUUUGUGACCACUAGGGGUAUGGGCUGGCAACAUAACCGUAAGCAUUUUCUGACUGAGUAUUAAAGCAUUCAUUCCUUUUCAGCAUUUUCUGACUUGGUAAUAAAAAUCAUUAGAUUAAAACGACUUACAACUUGGGAUCACCUAAUUUUUUUGAGUUUCCUUUCUACUUAUUUGUGCUAGCCGAGAUCUCUAUUAUAUCUUCAUUCUGAAUUUGCUAUUUUCUUCUCUGGGUUUUGUUCUUUGGUUGUUUUCUUCUUUUUCGUAUCAGGAAUUGUUCCUAUCUUGAAGGCAUUGGAGUAGCAUGUGAAAACUGUUACUUGGCAAUUUUGGAGAAUUACUCUUGGUAGGGGUAGGCAAAAACUGUCACUCACUCGCUCACUGACUCUUUGGUGUUCUGUUUUAGAUCUGAAGCGACAUAACUGUAAGCAUUUUCUGACUGAGUAUUAAAGCAUUCAUUCCUUUUCAGCAUUUUCUGACUUUGUAUUAAAAAUCAUAAGAUUAGAACGACUUGCAACUUGGGAUAACCUAAUUUUUUAUGAGUUUCCUUUCUAUUUAUUUGUUCUAGCCGUGAUCUCUAUUAUAUCUUCAUUCUGAACUUGCUAUUUUCUUUUGUGGGUUUUGUUCUUUGGUUGUUUUCUUCUGUUUCAUAUCAGGAAUUGUUCCUAUCAUAAAGGCAUUGGAGUAGCUUUAGAAAACUGUUACUUAGCAAUUUGGAGAAUUACUCUUGGUAGGGGUUUUUGCCUUACUGUCACUCACUCACUGACUCGUUCGUGUUCUGUUUCAGAUCUGAAGCGACAUAACCCUAAGCUUCACGUGGUAUGUAGUCUUCUCUCUCACCAUAUUCUCUGUAACAUCAUGGUGAUUUGCCCUUUCUUUUAUUUUUCUUUCAUAAUUUUUUUUUGUUAUUUGUUGAUCAUUUGGUUAUUUUAGCCUUAGUUUCCUAGAGACUUUCCAUUCUGCUGUUAUUGUUAGCUUAAUUAGCUUUCCCUGCAUUGGAUUAUGCUCUAUCGUAUGUAGUGGGAUUUGGGGUCUGCUGAUAUUGUUGUCUGAUAUUGGGGAUGAGGUGUUGGUUGAGGUGGUUUGGAGAGAAUUUGUUUGGAAGUUGAACUGGAGGUGCAUGUGGUAAACCCUGCUGUGGGGGAGGUUUAGGAGAAGCAUUAGGGGGAGGAAAACGGGAAUUGAUUGAGGAAGAUUAGCAGGGGUAGGAAGUUGUGGUUGAGAUUCCACAGGAGCAAGAACAACUUGCUUUGCUCAUGGCAGAAUCAUAGUGAUUGAGUUAACGAAUUAAUGUAACAGAUUGAAUCUUAAUCAAUAGUCAUUUUGCAUGUCUAGAUCAGCAAUAUCUGUUGGCUAAAAAUGUUUAUAGCACAAUUCGUGAAAUCAAAUGUCUGUCAAACACUCUACAAUACAUGUAUAAAAUGCACUAUGCUAGUUAAUAUUAAGCAGUGAUAAGUAAGUGUAGCAGAGAUGAGAUGGUUAGACAUGAGAAAAGAUAAAAUUAAGAACAAAUAUAUUUCGGAGAAAGUUGAAUUAUCUCCUCAUGGCAGAAUCAUAGUGAUUGAGUUAACGAAUUAAUGUAACAGAUUGAAUCUUAAUCAAUAGUCAUUUUGCAUGUCUAGAUCAGCAAUAUCUGUUGGCUAAAAAUGUUUAUAGCACAAUUCGUGAAAUCAAAUGUCUGUCAAACACUCUACAAUACAUGUAUAAGAUGGUCAAUGCUCUAUGCUAGUUAAUAUUAAGCAGUGAUAAGUAAGUGUAGCAGAGAUGAGAUGGUUAGACAUGAGAAAAGAUAAAAUUAAGAACAAAUAUAUUUCGGAGAAAGUUGAAUUAUCUCCUAUUGAGAAGAUUAUGAUUGGACAUAUGAGAAGCACAAUAUAAGCUAUAUCAAGAAAUAAAAGAUAAUUCAAGGGGAAGAUAAUUCAAUCAAAAGUAAUAAAGGAAUGCUAAAUGAAGCUUCAGAAAAAAACGUAGAAAAUACUUUUACUAUAAAGAGUUUUACUGAAAGUUUGGCCUUUGUCUUUUUUAUAUCAAGUCACUGGAUAUUCAUACUCUAAAGUUCCUUCUAAGGUUCUUAAUCUUUUUUAAUUUAUGAAAUAUUUUGAAGCUAGUCUAGAAGCAUGAUUCUUUUUAAGAGGCAUUUAAACUUUAGUUGGCAAGUACAAUAUCUGUUUUACAUGCAUUUUGAAUUUAUUUAUUUUACUCUAGUUUGUAGAGUCAGAUUUAAUUGAAUUUUACUCAACUUUCAGGAAUUAUUAGAUAACUUUUAAUAUUUGACAAGAUUUAGUUAUAAUAAUUCCACUCUUUUGCUCCUAAUGUUCUAUUUUAUUUGAGUCUUGUUCAAUGGGCUUUGCCACUGGCGGAAAAACAUUAUUUUUUUUACCACUCCUUUUUACUUCUCAGUGUACUUCCUAUUUUUUUCUUAAUUUAUUUUUGGUGCCUAACAAUAAAUCAUUUUUGCCAGACAUAUUGUCCUAGUCAUUUGAUUGUAAAUGUGGACAUUGAUUAUUGACAAGUUAAUGCAUAUCCAACUGCACUAAAAUGCCUAUGUGGCAUAUGGAUUUCAUAAUUAAUCAUGCUAAGCUUGAUAUAACUGUGGUUUGUUU